UGGGGAAGUGGCCGCAGGUUGCGGCGGGCAGACUUUGCCCGUAGGACAUCGCGUGUUGCCGAAGGGCCUGCUAGACUGACCGUCUCUGACUGCUGGGAGUCGUGUUCGGCUUACGGUCUUGGCCAAUGCAGAGAAAAGUUGUGCGGAGGAAGGGAAGGCAGUAGCGAGCGGAAGAACUACACAGUGUCACUUAGCAAUUUACGGCUACUUCUUGGGAAGCAAA